rnacentral:rRNA from 1 species
ACCGCCAGCUAAGGCCCCAAAAUCAUAGUUAAGUGGGAAACGAUGUGGGAAGGCAUAGACAGCUAGGAGGUUGGCUUAGAAGCAGCCACCCUUUAAAGAAAGCGUAAUAGCUCACUAGUCGAGUCGGCCUGCGCGGAAGAUGUAACGGGGCUAAAACUAUGUGCCGAAGCUGCGGAUGCAUAUUAUAUAUGCGUGGUAGGGGAGCGUUCUGUAAGCCGAUGAAGGUGUAUUGAGAAGUAUGCUGGAGGUAUCAGAAGUGCGAAUGCUGACGUGAGUAACGACAAAACGGGUGAAAAACCCGUUCGCUGAAAGACCAAGGGUUCCAGUCCAACGUUAAUCGGGGCUGGGUGAGUCGACCCCUAAGGCGAGGCCGAAAGGCGUAGUCGAUGGGAAAUUGGUUAAUAUUCCAAUACUUCUGUGUAAUGCGAUGAGAGGACGGAGAAGGUUAAGUCAGCCUGGCGUUGGUUGUCCAGGUGAAAGGUUGUAGGCAUGUAUCUUAGGCAAAUCCGGGGUACUGUAUGCUGAGAACUGAUAGCAAGCGAGUUUACUCGCAAAGUGGCUGAUACCCUGCUUCCAAGAAAAGUCUCUAAGCACCAGUUACACAGGAAUCGUACCCGAAACCGACACAGGUGGUCAGGUCGAGUAGACCAAAGCGCUUGAGAGAACUCUGCUGAAGGAACUAGGCAAAAUGGUACCGUAACUUCGGGAGAAGGUACGCUGCUGACGGUGAUGGGACUUGCUCCCUGAGCUAUUGGCAGCCACAGAAACCAGGCCGCUGCAACUGUUUAUUAAAAACAUAGCACUCUGCAAACACGAAAGUGGACGUAUAGGGUGUGAUGCCUGCCCGGUGCUGGAAGGUUAAUUGAUGGGGUUAGCGUAAGCGAAGCUCUUGAUCGAAGCCCCAGUAAACGGCGGCCGUAACUAUAACGGUCCUAAGGUAGCGAAAUUCCUUGUCGGGUAAGUUCCGACCUGCACGAAUGGCAUAAUGAUGGCGGCGCUGUCUCCAGCAGAGGCUCAGUGAAAUCGAAAUCGCUGUGAAGAUGCAGUGUACCCGCGGCUAGACGGAAAGACCCCGUGAACCUUUACUGCAGCUUGACAUUGAACUUUGACCUUACUUGUGUAGGAUAGGUGGGAGGCUAUGAAAAUGGGACGCCAGUUCCAUUGGAGCCAUCCUUGAAAUACCACCCUGGUAAUGUUGAGGUUCUAACUCUGCCCCGUGAUCCGGGGCGAGGACCAUGUCUGGUGGGUAGUUUGACUGGGGCGGUCUCCUCCUAAAGAGUAACGGAGGAGUACGAAGGUGCGCUCAGCGUGGUCGGAAAUCACGCGUAGAGUAUAAAGGCAAAAGCGCGCUUAACUGCGAGACCCACAAGUCGAGCAGGUACGAAAGUAGGUCUUAGUGAUCCGGUGGUUCUGUAUGGAAGGGCCAUCGCUCAACGGAUAAAAGGUACUCUGGGGAUAACAGGCUGAUACCGCCCAAGAGUUCAUAUCGACGGCGGUGUUUGGCACCUCGAUGUCGGCUCAUCUCAUCCUGGGGCUGAAGCAGGUCCCAAGGGUAUGGCUGUUCGCCAUUUAAAGAGGUACGCGAGCUGGGUUUAGAACGUCGUGAGACAGUUCGGUCCCUAUCUACCGUGGGCGCUGGAAAUUUGAGAGGAUCUGCUCCUAGUACGAGAGGACCAGAGUGGACGAACCUCUGGUGUACCGGUUGUGACGCCAGUCGCAUCGCCGGGUAGCUAUGUUCGGAAGGGAUAACCGCUGAAAGCAUCUAAGCGGGAAGCCUACCUCAAGAUAAGAUUUCCCCGUGACUUUAUGUCACCUAAAGAGCCGUUGA